GAGUCGUCUAGUGGUAGGACGCCAGACUCUGGAUCUGGUAGCGCCGGUUCGAAUCCUGCCUC
rnacentral:tRNA from 1 species